AUUUUGCCAUUUAUGGCAUUUGUUUUUGUCAAAAACAAACAAACAACAACAACAAAAAACAAAACGUGUGUUUUCAGAGGCUUGUCCAGGUAUACUGGAAAACGCAUAGGAAGAUUGGCUAAUACUGUAUAGGGAAGUAGGAAGGAAUUAGUCAAAUGUGCUAUGCUUUAUGACUUGUUUUACACUCAAACAACUUGUGCUAAAUUUGUCACUUAAUAACAUAGAUAUUCAUUCAAUAGAUGCUGUUUUGUAUUUCUGGAACAUACUAACCUGCUGUUAUGAACAAAGCAUGGAGUUGCUUGUUUACCACCACCCACCCCCGCCUCUUUUUUUUUUUUUUUUUUAGCUUGUUGAGCUGAUACAUAUUUAGAUAAUGAUUUUUUAGAAGUUAAGGAUAUCAUGUAAUUUUUUAUUGGUUGUGAUGGCACUUCUGUCUUUUUUUCUGCAGUGAAGAGUAAUUAUCUGGAUUCAGUGUUUUCAUGUGUGGUGGUUUUCUCCUCAGAUUUCUGCCAUUUCUCUUUCUGUGUGUUACAUAAACACAUAAACGUGCACAAAAACAGAGAACUAAAUUGGAGGGGGAUAGGGUUGGUGCUUUUGUAUUGGCAAAUGUAUAUGGAGAAAAAUAUAUUAUUCACCAUAUUUUUCUGACCUUAGAGUUCUGUCCAGGUUCUUUCCUCUUCUUUAUUAAAUACAAAUUAGGGCCUACGUAGACACUAAAUUUUCUUUGUACCAGAUGUGGUAAGGCUAACGACACUUGAUUAAAUACUCACAAAUAGUUGCUCUUUAAAAGAAUUCUUGUCUUCCUUGUUUGCCUUUUUCUAAGAAUUGGUCUCGGCUCUUGAUUACCCUGGCUGAUACAUGGAUUCAUCUCUCUCACUUCUGGCAGCCCAAGUCAAGUGACCAUUACAUCUUAACAAUGGUUACUCAUUUCCUCUUCUGACCAGAAGGGAAAGGAAGGAUAGGAGAGAUUUUGUUUAAACAGUUUAUAAUGUCUUCUGUGUUUGGACUAAUGGGGGGUCGUGAAGAAGAUGGAGCCAAGCUCUUGUCAGAGGUGUACAGCAAAAGGAUGAGAGGCAGUCGUCACAGGGAAUUUCCAACUACAUAUAAGGAAAAACUUCACAAUGAGAAAAGUUGAGUGGAAGAGGUACACAGAAAGGCUGUGGAUCCCUCCUCCCUGGGUGAUAUUCCAAGUGCAACUGGACAAAGCCCCAAGCAACCUGAUCUAACUUUGAAGUUGCCCUCCUUUGAGCAGGGGAUUGGACUAAACGAGCUGUAGAUACCCAUUCUGACCUAAACUGUGAUCUGAUUCUGCAACCCUACUGGUGUGAUUGUCUGUAGUAAAAUAGCCAGAGUUAGAGCAGCUGUUUUGGUUGAUAUUGGUAGUGAUUUUCAGCUAUUUCAGAAAUGAACUAUUUGUACUAUGUAUUGUAAAUAAGGCAUGUUUCAGCAGCAGAGAUGUUUUGUUUUGAAAACCGAGUUCUGAGUCUUUCAUAGUAACUGUAUAUGAUAGUCUUCACUGGUAAUAGAGUACUGUAAAGGCCACUUUUUUUUUUUUUUUCUUUAAUACGUGGAAAGCUAUUCCCCAGUUCCCAGUUUGUUAUCUAAUGAAAGAAUGGAGUACAGGAAGGAAAAGUCACUGAUGUACCAGUGUUAGUGUUGCUGGGAAGCUUUGCUGAAAAGGAUUUCAAGGGUGAAUGGAAAACUGUUGUUGAUCACUAGAAGUUAAAGAUUUCAUUGGAAAAAGGUAAAUAAUAAUUAUUGGUGAAGGAAAGAAAGGAAUAAGCACGUAAGCAAGGAUGUAACAUAGUUAGGAAGGAGAGGCUUGGGUAAAAUACAAAGAUACUUUUGCUAGACACAAAUUGCUAUUUUGUGGCAAGAGGAAGAAGUUAUUCAAAGGUUCUUUUAUUUGUUCUGGAUAACUUUCUUUGUGCUAAAUAUCUCCCUUCACAUUAAAGGCUAAGUGCACUCCAGUGCCUGAAUAACAGAUGUCAGUGUUAUUGCAAAAAUAGGUGCCAUGCUUUAUAAAUAACAUCUACUGUUUCGUUCACUGAGAAGUCCACUUCUAUUUUUGUGUUUUUAAACGUGGACUAUUUUUCUUUUUCUUACAGAGAUUUCUUCGGGCUCUAAACUGUGAGACAGAAGGGAGAGUGAAUCUUUUAUCUUGGCCAAUGAGGGAGGAUUAAUCCAAUAAUUGUGCUCAGGGAGAUACAGAUAUCUCUUCCCUCUCUCUAGGGUGCAGAUUAUUUCUGCUAGGAGCAUGAAUAAUUUGCACAGUGUGUGCUUGUGCAUAUUUUCCACCGUCCGAUUAAGAGGGUCUAUGUAUGAAAACAUCCCCUUGAACUUUAAUCCUAGUCUGGAAUGUUCCUCCACGACUUUUGUGAGGCUGAGGCUUUGUAGUAUCCUCUCUGUGGACUAGAGAUUGUUUAUUUCUAUCUUCUGUUUACUGUUUUCUUGCCUGGGGAAACAGGCAAGUGGCAGCCUGAAACUGGGCUUCAGUUUUGUAGGGUGUGUUUUCCUUGCUGAGUUGAGUAUGCGAAAGAGGCUUUUUUUUUCUUGCUACCUUCCCAGUCUGUACAGCAGUAAGGCACACAGAACAGGAAGAUGAACAACAAAAGGGAGAUGGAAAUAAAAGCCAGAAUUCAAAACAAAGCAUGACAUAUUUUUAAAAGCCUUUAGACUGAUCUUUAUAGCAUUUUAAAAUGUUGAAGAAAAUGCACUAUUGUUAAAACUUUUUGAUGGUUUUAUUUAUAAGGUAGAAAAAUAUUUUCACCAUAAUUGGGUAACUCUUAAUCGUAGCAAUUGCAUAUUUAUCAGUGUGAGGGGCUGUUAUUAAUGUAGCUGUCAUGCACAAACACAUUUCUGCAUUAAAUCCAUUUAGUAUGUGCAUUAUUCGGUCUAGAAUGUCACCAGGACAUCAAAGCCCCCUUAGGCAUAAGAGCACAGUGCCCUGCUGUGGCUGCAGAAAGGGCUUGAUCAAUAAAUGUAACAUGUUAAUGCAGAGCAAAUAGAAUAAAAGAUUUCUUUGACAAGACAUGAAAAAUCACCUUGUGGCAGCUGGCAUGGUGAUGCCAUUUCAGCGGAGACACUAGCAAAGUUGAUCUGACAAGUAAAGAGGAGAGAUGAUGGUUAUAAGGUGCUUUUGUUUCAAACUUCUUUCUUGACCUGUCAGGUUUUGAAGGAGCCUGAAUGGCCCUUUUUUGUCAUGUGAAAAUUGUAGUCUUAGGCAGUUAUGAAGCAGUUAUCUCUUCUCAAAUUGUGAAUGCUGCUGUUUAAUUGAUUCACUUAGCAUUUGAAACUGUCACGCAUUAAUAAUUGCUAAAUCCUGUAGAUACUGCUCCAGUGUGUCAUGCUUAAAUGUGUAGUUAUCAGAAAAUUAAUAUCCUUAAUGAACCGAUGCUUUCAAACUAGCAUUGCAUGAAAUCUCUUUUGCCCUUUCAUUUGUUGAAGGUAUAUCAGCCAGUUUUCAGAGCAACCCCUCCUGACAUUGGUGUGGUUUUAUUUAUUUAUUUUUUUGAUGCCCGACAAAUGCCAGCUUUGCUUUGGGUACAUAGUGUGCUCAAUGACAAUAAAUAUAGUAAUUAUGCUGGAGUUAGUAAUUAACAUAAUUAUAGUCAAUUACGACAAAUACAGUGCAGAGCUAAAUAAAUGAGGGUGAGAAAUUAGCAAGCUAAUUGAUUUACCUUACUUGCUGCUGCUUCUUGCAACUAGCAGUUGUGGAUUUUCUGCAAGGAGAAAGUGUAUUGUUUACAAAUAGCUGAUUGUGUUUUGAAAUGAUUCUGUCUUAUGGCUCUCACUUCAGUUUCUUUUAUACUGAGGUGAAGAGGAUUGAAAUAUGGGGUAGUCGUUAGAAGGAAAAAAGGAGCUGCUGUUCUGUUCUCACUGAAUGCUCUGAAGGAAAAUGUAUGUACUUGCUUUAAUUUUAGAUAAUUCUUAGAGUAUUGAGGGAAAAAAGGCUAUUUUUCUUCACAAGAAAAAUACAUUGCUACAGAAAUUUUUGCCAUGUAUUUUAAUCUGCUUAAAUGUGGCCUGAAUUAUCUAAAAGACAUCAAUAUCUUUUUGUUUAUUUAUUUACUUAUUGACAUUAGAGAGGUCUGCACAGCACUGGAUAGCUAAAGAAAGAAUUGAAAUUGUUCAAGUAAUCCAAGUGUGUUGAAACAAUAUGCUCUUGUUCAGCCAUCAGUUUCAAUAAUUCAGAACCAUCGGACCAGUAUAGAUGCAUAGUAUCAUAAUGUUUGUGCACAUUAUAAUUGCCUGUUUUGUUUCAAGAUGAUUUAUAGUAUGUUGUCUGAAAUAAGAGUAUUGGAGCUAUGCUGUUAAUCUGUUUCACUCUCCUUUUUUUUUUCUUUUUUUUCAAGCAUGACCACAUUUUACUAUAAGAAAAGAGAAUUAAUAUGUUUAAGUACUGAAGAUUUUGCAUUUUUUUUAAACUGGAAUUUUUUUCUUCAUGCAAGGAAACAGGGUGUGGUUUACAAAUGUGCACGAGUUCUGUACUCGAUCUAGUUUAUUGUUUCAAGGUAAAUGGAAUUGUAUCUAGACAUGUCAAUGAAGAGAGAGCAUUUGCUGCAGCUAAGCAAUCUGAAAUAUAUGAUUUCUUGAUGUUUUGCUACUGAGGUAAUGAGUAGGUUUGUAGUUCAAGAGGUGGAUACUUAGAGUUUGCCUGUUAGGGGUGUCCUACUGUAAAGCACAUGAUGCUCUAUAUUUUGAGUAAUAUUGAAAUGUUAGGAAUGUCAGAAAAUGAAUGUACACCAGCACUCUUUAGAAUCAAUCCAUUUGAAAAUCAAUUUGCUAAAUGGAAUAUUUAUAUACAAGGAGUCAUUUAAAUUAUUUAAAAUUUAUAGACUUAGUCUUUCAGAUGAAGUCUUACAUGUUUAUUAAUCGGUAUGGACUAUGUUAUGCAUAAUUAUCUUUUUAUUAAAAUAAUUAUUAAAUAGUUGUAUCCUACUGGACAAACUGAGACAAAUGUGAUGAUGUAUUUAUAUAUGAGUAAAACCUUAGGAGUUGUAUAAGAUAAAGUUUUAUAGGUGCAAAAAUGUAGGGAGAGUAUUACCAGUAAAAAAAAUAUUUUACAUUUCAAAUAGUAUUUCUGUUUUGGGUAGCUGAUCAAACUACAAUAAUUAAAGCUAAAUGCACUCCUUACUCUCUCUUCCUCUCCUUUACCCUCACGCCACGCCUUCCCUUUUGAAAAGUAACAUUUCAACAGGAACCAGAUGUGAUCUGGGUAAUGUAUCAGGAAAACUUUUUUUUUAGCAUUUGAAAACUUUGAAUAAUAAUAAAAAAUACUAUUAAGAUUUA